rnacentral:rRNA from 1 species
GAUGAACGCUGGCGGCGUGCCUAAUACAUGCAAGUCGAGCGAACAGACGAGGAGCUUGCUCCUCUGACGUUAGCGGCGGACGGGUGAGUAACACGUGGAUAACCUACCUAUAAGACUGGGAUAACUUCGGGAAACCGGAGCUAAUCCCGGAUAAUAUAUUGAACCGCAUUGUUCAAUAGUGAAAGACGGUUUUGCUGUCACUUAUAGAUGGAUCCGCGCCGCAUUAGCUAGUUGGUAAGGUAACGGCUUACCAAGGCGACGAUGCGUAGCCGACCUGAGAGGGUGAUCGGCCACACUGGAACUGAGACGCGGACCAGACUCCUACGGGAGGCAGCAGUAGGGAAUCUUCCGCAAUGGGCGAAAGCCUGACGGAGCAACGCCGCGUGAGUGAUGAAGGUCUUCGGAUCGUAAAACUCUGUUAUUAGGGAAGAACAAAUGUGUAAGUAACUAUGCACGUCUUGACGGUACCUAAUCAGAAGGCCACGGCUAACUACGUG